rnacentral:rRNA from 1 species
AGAGCGAACGCUGGCGGCAGGCUUAACACAUGCAAGUCGAGCGGAUGUAGCAAUACAUCAGCGGCAGACGGGAUAGUAACACGUGGGAACGCGCCCUUUGGUUCGGAAUAACUCAGGGAAACUUGAGCUAAUACCGGAUAAGCCCUUACGGGGAAAGAUUUAUCGCCAAAGGAACGGCCCGCGUCCGAUUAGCUAGUUGGUGAGGUAAUGGCUCACCAAGGCGACGAUCGGUAGCUGGUCUGAGAGGAUGACCAGCAUCACUGGGACUGAGACACGGCCCAGACUCCUACGGGAGGCAGCAGUGGGGAAUAUUGGACAAUGGGCGCAAGCCUGAUCCAGCCAUGCCGCGUGGAUGAUGAAGGCCCUAGGGUUGCAAAGUCCUUUAACGGGAAGAUAAUGACGGUACCCGUAGAAUAAGCCCGGCUAACUUCGUGCCAGCAGCCGC